rnacentral:rRNA from 1 species
ACUCCUACGGGAGGCAGCAGUGGGGAAUCUUGGACAAUGGGCGCAAGCCUGAUCCAGCCAUGCCGCGUGAGUGAUGAAGGCCUUAGGGUCGUAAAGCUCUUUCGCCAGAGAUGAUAAUGACAGUAUCUGGUAAAGAAACCCGGCUAACUCCGUGCCAGCAGCCGCGGUAAUACGGAGGGGGUUAGCGUUGUUCGGAAUUACUGGGCGUAAAGCGCGCGUAGGCGGAUUAGUCAGUUAGAGGUGAAAUCCCGGGGGCUCAACCCCGGAACUGCCUUUAAUACUGCUAGUCUUGAGUUCGAGAGAGGUGAGUGGAAUUCCGAGUGUAGAGGUGAAAUUCGUAGAUAUUCGGAGGAACACCAGUGGCGAAGGCGGCUCACUGGCUCGAUACUGACGCUGAGGUGCGAAAGUGUGGGGAGCAAACAGGAUUAGAUACCCUGGUAGGAUAGCG